rnacentral:tRNA from 1 species
GUAUAGCUCAGUCGGCAGAAGCAUGAGACUGUUAAUCUCAGGGUUGUGGGUUCGAGUCCCACGUUGGACA